rnacentral:lncRNA from 1 species
ACAAAAAAAACCGCCUGGCUGGAUGUGGCUGGCAAGAAGAUGGCCGGAGCUGCAGGUGACGAGUGAUCAAGAGGAGCCCAUGGCAGUGGGGACAGGUCACAGCUGAAGUGGGUGACCUGCAACAUGUUCAGCAGGUCACUUUCCCUGGGGGUAGUCAGCUGUCGUGUCACGAGGACAUUCAAACAGCCCUGUGGGAAGACCCAUGUGACAAGGAGCUGAGGCCUCCAGCAAACAGCCAGAUGAAGACCAUGAGGCACAGAGAGGUUUGUUAACUUGCCCAAGGCCAAACAGCUGGUGGGGAAGCUGAGGCCCAGAGAGGUGAGUGGCAUGUCCGAAGCAGCCCAGCGCAGGGUGCGAGGUAGGCAGGGCUGGGCCCCCGGGCCUUCCCUGUGAACCAUCUGCCCGCCGGUUGCAGGAGGCAGUUCCUGGAAAGCAAGCGGGCCGAGUUCCUCACAGAGAUCAGAAGAGCAACAAGAUCUCCAGGCCAGGGCAGAGGUCCCCGCCCUGGAUGCUGGUGACACUUCCCCUGGGCGGGAGGGGCUGGGAGCAUGCAGAUCUCAGCCCUGAACAGCCUGUCCUCUCGCCUCGAGGUUCUUGGUAGGCUGGGAACAGCCUGUCCUGCUGAGCUUCCUGUCACCUCUCUAGCUGCCCACACGCCGCACAGCUGCCACCGCCGGCCCUGGCCCGGGAGAGGGGGGUCUCUGGGGAUCUUAGCAGGCCAUGGUGGGGGUGUCUUGGGGCCAGCCUGAACUGAAAGACCAUCACAGCUUGCAAGCCACCUCCCUGCUCUGUUGCUGGCUCUCCUUGAAGACAAGUGUUUUUCAAUUAACCAAAGCGGUGCAUGGCAAUGUGAUAGGGGAAUGAAACACAGCAACAGAAUCAAUGCCCCACGCUGGGCAAUAGCCGACUUUCUGUUCGCUCCCAUCCCUUCCUUCCCUCCCCGCCUCCUUCCCCUGCUCCUUCCAUUCCACAAACAUUUAUUGAGCACCCGCUGUGUGCCAGCCACUGUUCUAGGCCCUGAAGACACAGAAGUGAACAAAAAAAAAGAGUCCCUGUGCACAUCCUGGAGGGACUUU